AUGAUAUAAAAAUUUUCUGGAUCAUAGAUAGUUUCCUGAUAAGGUUCUUGAUUAAUGAGGGACUAGACUUCUUUUGUUAUAGUUACUUUGGUCAUUAGGAGGGGAAUGCUGGGAUACUAGACCAAUCUGCUAUGCAUUAAGUGAAUUGUCAGUCCAAUGUUCAACUAGUUUGUUGCAUAUUUUAUUAAAUUGAUGGUUUAAACUCCUGCAAUUAAUGAGUCUAAAGAUUUGAGACACUGAAAUGCUUUUUUUGAUACAGGCGAAAAACAUGAACCGCUGAGCUGGGAUUUGAGAGUAUAUAUUGCUUUAGACGUAGCACGCGGUCUAGAGUAUCUUCACGAUGGGAGGAGAGAUCCCCGAGACUAUGGAAAUGGAACGCGGUGAUCUCUACUUCAUACGCUACAAGAUUGUUAAAGGAGCAAUCAUAUCUGGCCAAAUUGACUUGAUCUGAGCUCAGUCAUGGAUUUUUCACUCAAAUCUCUUUCCAUAGCCAUAAGUGAAAGAUAGUGCUACCAUUGUUCAUUAUGUCAUGAACCUGAUUUACUUGAGUUGUAUAGUGGAUUACAUAACAAUUCGUCUCUAAAAGUAACAAUAUUUUGAUAGGUCGAAAUGUUAAAAGAGAUCUUUUUGAGGUUUCACUCUAUUGCAGUGUAAGAUGAACCAAUUUCUUCAA